rnacentral:rRNA from 1 species
AUUGAACGCUGGCGGCAUGCCUUACACAUGCAAGUCGAACGGUAACAGGUCUUCUUAUGCUUACGAGUGGCUAACGGGUGAGUAAUACAUCCGAACGUGCCCGUUCUUUGGGGGUAACUAAGCGAAAGCUUUGCUAAUACCUCAUAAGUUCUACGUAUGAAAGCAGGGGACCGCCAGUCCUUGCGCGAACUGAGCGGCUGAUGGCUGAUUAGGUAGUUGGUGGGAUAAAAGCUUACCAAGCCGACGAUCUGUAGCUGGUCUGAGAGGACGACCAGCCACACUGGGACUGAGACACGGCCCAGACUCCUACGGGAGGCAGCAGUGGGGAAUUUUGGGCAAUGGGCGAAAGCCUGAUCCAGCAAUGCCGCGUGCAGGAUGAAGGCCUUCGGGUUGUAAACUGCUUUUGUACGGAAAGAAAAGACUCUGGUUAAUACCUGGGGUGCAUGACGGUACCGGAAGAAUAAGCACCGGCUAACUACGUG